UGGUGAAUAUUGCACAAUGGGCGCAAGCCUGAUGCAGCCAUGCCGCGUGUAUGAAGAAGGCCUUCGGGUUGUAAAGUACUUUCAGUCGGGAGGAAGGUGGUAAGGUUAAUAACCUUAUCAAUUGACGUUACCGACAGAAGAAGCACCGGCUAACUCCGUGCCAGCAGCCGCGGUAAUACGGAGGGUGCAAGCGUUAAUCGGAAUUACUGGGCGUAAAGCGCACGCAGGCGGUUGAUUGAGUCAGAUGUGAAAUCCCCGGGCUUAACCCGGGAAUUGCAUCUGAUACUGGUCAGCUAGAGUCUUGUAGAGGGGGGUAGAAUUCCAUGUGUAGCGGUGAAAUGCGUAGAGAUGUGGAGGAAUACCGGUGGCGAAGGCGGCCCCCUGGACAAAGACUGACGCUCAGGUGCGAAAGCGUGGGGAGCAAACAGG
rnacentral:rRNA from 1 species